CCUGGCUCAGGACGAACGCUGGCGGCGCGCCUAACACAUGCAAGUCGAACGAGCGAGAGAGAGCUUGCUUUCUCGAGCGAGUGGCGAACGGGUGAGUAACGCGUGAGGAACCUGCCUCAAAGAAGGGGACAACAGUUGGAAACGACUGCUAAUACCGCAUAAGCCCACGGGUCGGCAUCGACCAGAGGGAAAAGGAGCAAUCCGCUUUGAGAUGGCCUCGCGUCCGAUUAGCUGGUUGGUGAGGUAACGGCCCACCAAGGCAACGAUCGGUAGCCGGACUGAGAGGUUGAACGGCCACAUUGGGACUGAGACACGGCCCAGACUCCUACGGGAGGCAGCAGUGGGGAAUAUUGCACAAUGGGGGAAACCCUGAUGCAGCGACGCCGCGUGGAGGAAGAAGGUCUUCGGAUUGUAAACUCCUGUUGUUGAGGAAGAUAAUGACGGUACUCAACAAGGAAGUGACGGCUAACUACGUGCCAGCAGCCGCGGUAAAACGUAGGUCACAAGCGUUGUCCGGAAUUACUGGGUGUAAAGGGAGCGCAGGCGGGAAGACAAGUUGGAAGUGAAAUCCAUGGGCUCAACCCAUGAACUGCUUUCAAAACUGUUUUUCUCGAGUAGUGCAGAGGUAGGCGGAAUUCCCGGUGUAGCGGUGGAAUGCGUAGAUAUCGGGAGGAACACCAGUGGCAAAGGCGGCCUACUGGGCACCAACUGACGCUGAGGCUCGAAAGUGUGGGUAGCAAACAGGAUUAGAUACCCUGGUAGUCCACACCGUAAACGAUGAUUACUAGGUGUUGGAGGAUUGACCCCUUCAGUGCCGCAGUUAACACAAUAAGUAAUCCACCUGGGGAGUACGACCGCAAGGUUGAAACUCAAAGGAAUUGACGGGGGCCCGCACAAGCAGUGGAGUAUGUGGUUUAAUUCGACGCAACGCGAAGAACCUUACCAAGUCUUGACAUCCUGCGAAGGCGUAGAAAUACGUUUUUCCUUCGGGACGCAGAGACAGGUGGUGCAUGGUUGUCGUCAGCUCGUGUCGUGAGAUGUUGGGUUAAGUCCCGCAACGAGCGCAACCCUUAUGGUCAGUUACUACGCAAGAGGACUCUGGCCAGACUGCCGUUGACAAAACGGAGGAAGGUGGGGAUGACGUCAAAUCAUCAUGCCCUUUAUGACUUGGGCUACACACGUACUACAAUGGCGUUAAACAAAGAGAAGCAAGACCGCGAGGUGGAGCAAAACUCAGAAACAACGUCCCAGUUCGGACUGCAGGCUGCAACUCGCCUGCACGAAGUCGGAAUUGCUAGUAAUCGUGGAUCAGCAUGCCACGGUGAAUACGUUCCCGGGCCUUGUACACAC
rnacentral:rRNA from 1 species